rnacentral:rRNA from 1 species
GACGAACGCUGGCGGCGUGCUUAACACAUGCAAGUCGAACGGUAAGGCCCUUCGGGGUACACGAGUGGCGAACGGGUGAGUAACACGUGGGUGAUCUGCCCUGCACUUCGGGAUAAGCCUGGGAAACUGGGUCUAAUACCGGAUAGGACCCUGGGAUGCAUGUACUGGGGUGGAAAGCUUUUGCGGUGUAGGAUGGACUCGCGGCCUAUCAGCUAGUUGGUGAGGUAACGGCUCACCAAGGCGACGACGGGUAGCCGGCCUGAGAGGGGGACCGGCCACACUGGGACUGAGACACGGCCCAGACUCCUACGGGAGGCAGCAGUGGGGAAUAUUGCACAAUGGGCGCAAGCCUGAUGCAGCAACGCCGCGUGAGGGAUGACGGCCUUCGGGUUGUAAACCUCUUUUAGUAGGGAAGAAGCGAAAGUGACGGUACCUGCAGAAAAAGCACCGGCUAACUACGUGCCAGCCGCCGCCGUAA